rnacentral:rRNA from 1 species
UACGGGGGGGGCAAGCGUUGUUCGGAAUUACUGGGCGUAAAGGGCGCGUAGGCGGCCUGCUAAGUCGGACGUGAAAUCCCUCGGCUCAACCGGGGAACUGCGUCCGAUACUGGCGAGGCUUGAAUCCGGGAGAGGGAUGUGGAAUUCCAGGUGUAGCGGUGAAAUGCGUAGAUAUCUGGAGGAACACCGGUGGCGAAGGCGGCAUUCUGGACCGAAACUGACGCUGAGGCGCGAAAGCCAGGGGAGCAAACGGG